CUACGGGAUGCUGCAGUGGGGAAUAUUGCACAAUGGAGGAAACUCUGAUGCAGCAACGCCGCGUGGAGGAUGACACUUUUCGGAGCGUAAACUCCUUUUAUAUAGGAAGAAGAUGACGGUACUAUAUGAAUAAGCGCCGGCUAACUCCGUGCUAGCAGCCGCGGUAAUACGGAGGGCGCAAGCGUUACUCGGAAUCACUGGGCGUAAAGAGCGUGUAGGCGGAUUAAAAAGUCAGAAGUGAAAUCCUAUAGCUUAACUAUAGAACUGCUUCUGAAACUCUUAAUCUAGAAUAUGGGAGAGGUAGAUGGAAUUUCUGGUGUAGGGGUAAAAUCCGUAGAGAUCAGAAGGAAUACCGAUUGCGAAGGCGAUCUACUAGAACAUUAUUGACGCUGAGACGCGAAAGCGUGGGGAGCAAACAGGAUUAGAUACCCGGGUAGUC
rnacentral:rRNA from 1 species